UAGCGUUCUUCUCUUUGUUCUUCACUCUAAAAAAAGAUCACCUCCACCUUCGGCAUGUAGAAGAGUGGGACACCCAUCCCUUGGGCAUGGGAAAGAGAAAAGGGAAGAGGAGAGGCAUGGAGAUGGGAGAGGGAGAGUUUUUGUUUCACAAAAUUCAACUAAUUGAAAACCUUAAGAGAUCAUCUCUUUAUAUAGGCUCUACCUUGACUCAAAAGAGG
rnacentral:lncRNA from 1 species